GGUGAUCAUUUGAGCAAGGUGGUGGCAGUAGCAGGGGUUGUGGUGUUAAUGUUAAAAUUAUGAUAUUGUACGUCGUUGGCGGAUAUUGGUUGCCUUGAAAUCAAUGUGUUGUGAAACAAUAAGGUGACUGCUUUUGUAAUUGGAAUGGUGGUUACAAUUUUGUUAUCCUGCUGCUGGUAGUGGCAUUGCUGAUAGGUCAGUGGAGUCGGAGGUGGUGAUUGUGAUGAUCAGCAGCUUUGGCUGUUAUUUUAGUUGCUUGUUUUUGGUUGCUUUGUAUAGUAAUUUGGGUGAUUAAUCCAUGCAGUUCCUGUCGUAUUUUCAUAAUCACCUGCUAUUAUAAACUUUAUAUUUUGACUCCUUGUCUUUGUUGCUAGAAACAUGCAUGUGCCAGUAGCAAUUUUUUUGUCCCCGCCCCCCUAAUUACUUUGUUUCACUGUUGUAGAGUUUCAGAUGCUUUUCUUUCUUUCCUCCUUUCUUUUUUGUUCUCUUUAGUAGCUAAUUCAAUAAUCACUUAUUGCUUGUUCAGUUCAUCAGUUAAUCAGAUGACAGAUUUAAUAUAUUUGUCAGUGCAUGGU
rnacentral:misc_RNA from 1 species